rnacentral:SRP_RNA from 1 species
GCGGGGUGCGAUGGCACAUGCCUGUAGUCCCAGCUACUCAGGAGGCUGAGGUGGGAGGAUUGCAUGAGCCCAGGAGUUCUGGGCUGUAGUGCCCUAUGCUGAUUCGGUGUCCACACUAAUUUUGGCAUCAAUAUGGUGACCUCCUGGGAGCGGGGACCACCAGGUUGCCUAAUGAGGGGUGAACCGGCCCAGGUCGGAAAUGGAGUAGGUCAAAACUCCCGUGCUGAUCAGUAGUGGGAUCGCACCUGUGAAUAGCCACUGCACUCCAGCCUGGCAACAUAGUGAGACCCCGUCUCU